GUGUCAGUUGAAGAUGACAAACGUUCAGGGCGACCAAGCACCAGCAAAAUGACAGAAAAUGUUAGGUUGAGAACUCAUCAACGAAGACUGUCGCUGAACAAUCCAUGAGCUCACAUACACCACUUGGAUCAGUUAUGGAGUUUGCCAGAUCUCAACAGAAAAUUUAAACAUGUAUCACACUGCUCCAACAUGAAAAUGCGCCUGCCCACACAUCCCUGAAAAUCACAGAUUUUGUGAUUAACAACAACAUGGCUAUCGUUCCCUAUCGUCCCUACUCACCAUACUUAGCCCCCUGUGAUUUCACUUAGUUUCCCAAAUUGAAAAUGACCUAAAAGGACAAGGUCCUGAAACAGUGUCUUCCAACGGGAAUUUCAAGCAAGCAGUACUCGACAGCAUUACAGAAUGACUUCCACAGUGCUUUUGAAGCUAGGAAAAAAUGAUGGGAUUGCUAUAUACAUUCGCAAGGAAACUAUUCUGAAGGAGAUGGCAGCCAAAAUUGAGUAAGUUAAGCCAGCAUUCCUUUUUUGACCUAGUCCAGGAACUUCAUACUUGGAGGAUCAAGCUCAGAGUGUAUGGAGAUAGUGAAGCUAUGGCACCAUCCACUGACAGACCUAUACGCUGACGACUAGAUAAAACUGGUCAAGAUUUUAAAUUUUCACAGUAUCAAGUAUCAGGUUAUGAUCUUGGAUGUGAUGGCAUGUAUGGUACAUGGAUACCCACAUUUUGGAGGAACCUGCUACCUCCAUCUUCAGGAUAGAAUGAAAAUGGGAGUAGCAGAUUCCUCAGAAAUCAUACCCAUCAUCUACUAAACCACACAAUAUCACAUCCCAGAAGACAUAAUCUUGAUGACUGGUCUAGUGUGCAGUUCAGUUCAUAGCUGGUCAUUUAACAUAUCUCAUUAUCUGGGAGAAAUGAAAAAGCGAUGCCUUCUACUCAGGAUAUCUUGUCAUCUCAGACAUUAAAACUUCCUGCACAUGUUAGCUCAAGCAGUGAUGCUUCUAAAUUGUAUUCAGGAAGUACCCAGUUUGAGUCCCAGCUGGACACUGGCUGCCUGUUGAGAUUCUUUGUGGUUUCCUCAGUCCCUCUAGACAAAUCAUAAAAUAAGCUAUGCAACUGAUAUAGCAUCUUCAAAUAGCCUUCAGUCUGAUCAUCCAGAAUGCAAUAUAGACAUAUGUCAUAAGUAAAAUUGGAGCUACUUUCACAAAUGAGUGACCUGCUAUAAAUUUCAUGGGAGAAUUCGUGACUAGAGACCACUCACAUUAUGUCUGUGAGGUUACAGUCUACUGGGUGCAAAUUCUGUAUUUACAUGUAACUGAAAUGCAUUCUCAAGCUCUAUAGCUCAUUAGGCAAUAAUAUCAAGAUAAGAAAAUGGUUAUGUAACAAGUUCUUGUUUAUUCAAGCUCUACAGCUCAUUAGGCAAUAAUAUCAAGACAAGAAAAUGGUUAUGUAACAAGUUCUUGCUUAUUUGUACACUGAAUUUGGCCAGUCAGUUUUCUAGUUAUCACUUUCAUAUCAACUUGAGAUACCAACGGCAGUAGAACUUUAUUGGGGUGCAAGAAGAGGGAUGAUCGUAAUAGAUUUCAUUUAAUUUUGAUGAUAAUAUAUGACUUUGUGAGGUGGAUGUUUUUAAACUUGAAAAGUUCUCUCAUACCACUGAGUGGACUGUAUGGGCAGAAUAUAUGCAGACGAACAACACAAGCACCAAUUGAACUGGAUUCAUCUGGUUCAGGAGGGGACUGAUAACGGCCUCUUGUAAACACAGAAAUGAACCUUCAGGUGCCAUAAAAUAUAGAGCAUAUCUUGACUAGCUGACACAUACAUAAGUUAAUGAAGAUGGGUGUGCUGCGUGUGGGCGUGCUGGGAGCAGGAGUUGUGGGAGUUUUAACAGCCAAUGAACUGCAGGCAGAGUUCCCGACAGCAAGCAUCACCAUUAUUGCUGAUAAGUUCAACAAAGACACAACAAGUGAAGUUGCUGCUGGAAUUUUCCGACCAAGCCCAAGUUUUGCUGGACCCACACCAGAAAUUACAAGGUUAUCAAUAAGCACUAGUGUUCAAAUUAUGGCAACUCAUGACCAAAUGUCAAUUGUUACUAUCCCUUCUACUUUCCAAAAACACUAAAAAUUAAAGAAACAAUCAUAAUAACACUUUUACUGAUUUUUGAAAUUAUUAAACUUGGUAUCUUUAUGUUGAGGUGAAAACAUAAAUGACAAGUGUCUAAAAAAAGUGCUAACAAAAAUGUUUCGACCUAAGCGGUGUUUCUUUUUUCAGCCAGUACACAUACUAGCAAAUAACGGAUACAUACUAGUAAACUCAUCUGAGGUCCAUGCAUGUGCCGGUUCCUUGUAUGAGGCUAAAUCCAAGCCUGAUAGUACCACUAAACAUUCUUCAAAGAAAAUUCCGUGGACCUAAGAGAGAUGAAAUAAAUAUGAAAUAUGAGGAUACUACACAACAAGGAACAUCGCGUUUUCUACAGCUCAGCUAGAACUAUUAAGAUAAUUAAAUU